rnacentral:rRNA from 1 species
CGGAGGGUGCGAGCGUUGUCCGGAAUCAUUGGGCGUAAAGGGCGCGUAGGUGGCCCGGUCAGUUCGUGGUGAAAGCGCGGGGCUCAACCCCGCGUCGGCCAUGAAUACUGCGGGGCUGGAGCACUGUAGAGGCAGGCGGAAUUCCGGGUGUAGCGGUGGAAUGCGUAGAGAUCCGGAAGAACACCGGUGGCGAAGGCGGCCUGCUGGGCAGUUGCUGACACUGAGGCGCGACAGCGUGGGGAGCAAACAGGAUUAGAUACCCUGGUAGUCCACGCCGUAAACGAUGGGCACUAGGCGCUUGGGGGAGCGACCCCCCGAGGGCCGGCGCUAACGCAUUAAGUGCCCCGCCUGGGGAGUACGGCCGCAAGGCUG